rnacentral:rRNA from 1 species
AAUAGAUACCCCGGUAGUCCACGCCGUAAACGAUGAGUGCUAAGUGUUAGGAGGGGUUUCCGCCCUUUAGUGCUGCAGCUAACGCAUUAAGCACUCCGCCGUGGGGAGUACGGCCGCAAGGCUGAAACUCAAAGGAAUUGACGGGGGCCCGCACAAGCGGUGGAGCAUGUGGUUUAAUUCGAAGCAACGCGAAGAACCUUACCAGGUCUUGACAUCCUCUGCCAACCCUAGAGAUAGGGCGUUCCCCUUCGGGGGACAGAGUGACAGGUGGUGCAUGGUUGUCGUCAGCUCGUGUCGUGAGAUGUUGGGUUAAGUCCCGCAACGAGCGCAACCCUUGAUCUUAGUUGCCAGCAUUCAGUUGGGCACUCUAAGGUGACUGCCGGUGACAAACCGGAGGAAGGUGGGGAUGACGUCAAAUCAUCAUGCCCCUUAUGACCUGGGCUACACACGUGCUACAAUGGAUGGUACAAAGAGCUGCGAACCCGCGAGGGUAAGCCAAUCUCAUAAAAGCCAUUCUCAGUUCGGAUUGUAGG